CUGAGUUGCAAGUGAUCUCAAAGAAGAUCCAUUCCAAGCCAUACUUAAACAGGAACCGUCUUUAUAACAUCCCUGGCAGAAGCUGUCAUUGGAUACUCAAAAAGGAGAUAGAAGUACAAAGUGAAUCAAUAGUACUAAAGACAUACGCUGUUACCAUCACUUCUUGAUCACUUGCGUACAAAAAUAGUGAGGAGGAGCUCCAGAGACCCUUCUGAUGCUUGAUGGAUCACA